rnacentral:rRNA from 1 species
UAGCUAGUUGGUGAGGUAAAGGCUUACCAAGGCGACGAUCUGUAGCGGGUCUGAGAGGAUGAUCCGCCACACUGGAACUGAGACACGGUCCAGACUCCUACGGGAGGCAGCAGUGGGGAAUUUUGGACAAUGGGGGCAGCCCUGAUCCAGCCAUGCCGCGUGAGUGAAGAAGGCCUUCGGGUUGUAAAGCUCUUUCGGCCGGGAAGAAAUCGCAUGGGCCAAUACCCUGUGUGGAUGACGGUACCGGAAUAAGAAGCACCGGCUAACUACGUGCCAGCAGCCGCGGUAAUACGUAGGGUGCGAGCGUUAAUCGGAAUUACUGGGCGUAAAGCGUGCGCAGGCGGUUUUGUAAGACAGGCGUGAAAUCCCCGGGCUUAACCUGGGAACUGCGUUUGUGACUGCAAGGCUAGAGUACGGCAGAGGGGGGUGGAAUUCCACGUGUAGCAGUGAAAUGCGUAGAGAUGUGGAGGAACACCAAUGGCGAAGGCAGCCCCCUGGGUCGAUACUGACGCUCAUGCACGAAAGCGUGGGUAGCAAACAGGAUUAGAUACCCUGGUAGUCCACGCCCUAAACUAUGUCAACUAGGUGUUGGGUGGGUAAAACCAUUUAGUACCGUAGCUAACGCGUGAAGUUGACCGCCUGGGGAGUACGGCCGCAAGGUUAAAACUCAAAGGAAUUGACGGGGACCCGCACAAGCGGAGGAUGAUGUGGAUUAAUUCGAUGCAACGCGAAAAACCUUACCUACCCUUGACAUGCCAGGAACUUGCCAGAGAUGGCUUGGUGCCCGAAAGGGAGCCUGGACACAGGUGCUGCAUGGCUGUCGUCAGCUCGUGUCGUGAGAUGUUGGGUUAAGUCCCGCAACGAGCGCAACCCUUGUCGUUAAUUGCCAUCAUUUAGUUGGGCACUUUAACGAGACUGCCGGUGACAAACCGGAGGAAGGUGGGGAUGACGUCAAGUCCUCAUGGCCCUUAUGGGUAGGGCUUCACACGUCAUACAAUGGUCGGUACAAAGGGUUGCCAAACCGCGAGGCGGAGCCAAUCCCAGAAAGCCGAUCGUAGUCCGGAUUGCAGGCUGCAACUCGCCUGCAUGAAGUCGGAAUCGCUAGUAAUCGUGGAUCAGCAUGUCACGGUGAAUACGUUCCCGGGUCUUGUACAUACCGCCCGUCACACCAUGGGAGCGGGUUCCGCCAGAAGUAGGUAGCCUAACCGCAAGGGGGGCGCUUACCACGGCGGGGUUCGUGACUGGGGUGAAGUCGUAACAAGGUAGCCGUAGGGGAACCUGCGGCUG